AUUGAACGCUGGCGGCAUGCUUUACACAUGCAAGUCGAACGGCAGCACGGGCUUCGGCCUGGUGGCGAGUGGCGAACGGGUGAGUAAUGCAUCGGAACGUACCGUGUAAUGGGGGGAUAACGUAGCGAAAGUUACGCUAAUACCGCAUACGCCCUGAGGGGGAAAGCGGGGGAUCGCAAGACCUCGCGCUAUUGGAGCGGCCGAUAUCAGAUUAGCUAGUUGGUGAGGUAACGGCUUACCAAGGCGACGAUCUGUAGCGGGUCUGAGAGGAUGAUCCGCCACACUGGAACUGAGACACGGUCCAGACUCCUACGGGAGGCAGCAGUGGGGAAUUUUGGACAAUGGGCGCAAGCCUGAUCCAGCCAUGCCGCGUGAGUGAAGAAGGCCUCGG
rnacentral:rRNA from 1 species